UGAGCAACCUGCCCUUGACCCUGGAAUAACAGCUGGAAACAGCUGCUAAUACCGGAUACGACCUCCGAUGGCAUCAUCUGGAGGUGGAAAGCUCCGACGGUCAAGGAUGAGCUCGCGGCCUAUCAGCUAGUUGGUGAGGUAACGGCUCACCAAGGCGACGACGGGUAGCUGGUCUGAGAGGAUGGCCAGCCACAUUGGGACUGAGACACGGCAGA
rnacentral:rRNA from 1 species